rnacentral:rRNA from 1 species
UACGUAGGGGGCAAGCGUUGUCCGGAUUUAUUGGGCGUAAAGAGCGUGUAGGCGGCCAUACAGGUCCGUUGUGAAAACUGGAGGCUUAACCUCCAGACGUCGAUGGAAACCGUAUGGCUAGAGUCCGGAAGAGGAGAGUGGAAUUCCUGGUGUAGCGGUGAAUGACGCAGAUAUCAGGAAGAACACCCGUGGCGAAGGCGGCUCUCUGGGACGGUACUGACGCUGAGACGCGAAAGCGUGGGGGAGCGAACAGG